GUCUGCAUCCCUACCUGGCGGCGCGUCGAGGGGAACUAACUAACCGGCUAAGGGAGAACCGCAGCUGAAAUGGAGCGUUUUCGGACACCCUGGGAGAGAGAUGUUUUCCUUAGCUACUCCAGCAGACAGGAAUCUACUAGCAGAGAAGAAAGCCUCGGUAUCCCCCAAGAGAGCAGUACAAAGCCCAGUUUGCACACAGCAGAUGCAAAAGCAAGUCCAUCUGCUACCAGCUCACAACACCACAUGGACUUGGGAGAUUUAAUCCUAGGCUUCGUCUGGCUGGCUGUGUUUGUGUAGACACCACUGAAACAAGAGGAGGGGAGGCUGAUGUGAAGGAAAGGGCCUUCACACCACCAAGGUCAAUAAGGACAAACAACGCCACCAGCAUCCCUUCACCGUGGCAGAAGAGACGUGGGUAGCAGGGGGGUAGAGAGGAGGGUAGUGCCGGGGUGGGGGAUGGUAAUAACUAUGGCAGUUGCAGUGGUGGUGUAGGUUUCUAUCUCGGAGCGAUGGCAUCAUUUCCAUAGCAACCCUUAAUUUUCAAUUAAAGCAGACACAAAGCUCGUUGCCCGGGGCCAUCAGACAGUGUCAAGAGCCUCACGUUCCACACUUCCACGCUGGAGACUGAGACCAUGGCCACUGCCACCACCACCACCAUCACCACUAGCGCCAUUGGGCUAGUCAAUCUCACAGGCAGCUGCCUGGGCUCAAGGCUGACACAGAGAUACCCAAAGCCUAUUUCACCUUACCCACCAUUAGAAUGAUUUAUUAUGGCCAAAACACUUCAACGUUGAAACAAAUGGAAAUUAAAAGGGAGGGGGAAACACUGGUGUGGAACUGCCACUUAGAGGUGCUGCGUUUGAAAAAUGCAUUAAAAAGGGGCCCAGCGAUGGAAUGAGUCUGGAGUAGACAGAGAGUGAGAGAGAGAGAGAGAGAGAGAGAGA